rnacentral:rRNA from 1 species
UACAGAGGGUGCGAGCGUUAAUCGGAAUUACUGGGCGUAAAGCGAGUGUAGGCGGUUGCCCAAGUCAGGUGUGAAAGCCUUGAGCUCAACUCAAGAAAUGCACUUGGUACUGGGUGGCUAGAGGACCGGAGAGGAUAGUGGAAUUCCCAGUGUAGUGGUGAAAUACGUAGAGAUUGGGAAGAACACCAGUGGCGAAGGCGGCUAUCUGGACGGUUACUGACGCUAAGACUCGAAAGCGUGGGGAGCAAACAGG